rnacentral:rRNA from 1 species
GAUGAACGCUGGCGGCGUGCCUAAUACAUGCAAGUCGAGCGAACAGACGAGGAGCUUGCUCCUCUGACGUUAGCGGCGGACGGGUGAGUAACACGUGGAUAACCUACCUAUAAGACUGGGAUAACUUCGGGAAACCGGAGCUAAUACCGGAUAAUAUAUUGAACCGCAUGGUUCCAUAGUGAAAGACGGUUUUGCUGUCACUUAUAGAUGGAUCCGCGCCGCAUGAGCUAGUUGGUAAGGUAACGGCUUACCAAGGCAACGAUGCGUAGCCGACCUGAGAGGGGGGUCGGCCACCCUGUAACUGAGACACGUUCCAGACACCUACGGGAGGCAGCAGUAGAGAAUCUUCCGCAAGGGGCGAAAGCCUGACGGAGCAACGCCGGGGGAGUGAUGAAGGUCUUCGGAUCGUAAAACUCUGUUAUUAGGGAAGAACAAAUGUGUAAGUAACUAUGCACGUCUUGACGGUACCUAAGCAGAAAGCCACGGCUAACUACGU